AGCGUAGACGGUGUGGCAAGUCUGAUGUGAAAGGCAUGGGCUCAACCUGUGGACUGCAUUGGAAACUGUCAUACUUGAGUGCCGGAGGGGUAAGCGGAAUUCCUAGUGUAGCGGUGAAAUGCGUAGAUAUUAGGAGGAACAUCAGUGGCGAAGGCGGCUUACUGGACGGUAACUGACGUUGAGGCUGAAAGCGUGGGGAGCAAACA
rnacentral:rRNA from 1 species